UACGGGGGGGGGUAAGCGUUGUUCGGAAUUACUGGGCGUAAAGGGCUCGUAGGCGGCCAACUAAGUCGGACGUGAAAUCCCUCAGCUUAACUGGGGAACUGCGUCCGAUACUGGAUGGCUUGGAUUUGGGAGAGGGAUGCGGAAUUCCAGGUGUAGCGGUGAAAUGCGUAGAUAUCUGGAGGAACACCGGUGGCGAAGGCGGCAUCCUGGACCAAGUAUUGACGCUGAGGAGCGAAAGCCAGGGGA
rnacentral:rRNA from 1 species